rnacentral:rRNA from 1 species
AUGAACGCUAGCGGCAGGCUUAACACAUGCAAGUCGAGGGGCAGCGCGGGGUAGCAAUACUCUGGCGGCGACCGGCGAAAGGGUGAGUAACGCGUGAGCAACGUGCCCGUAUGUGGGGGAUAGUCAUUAGAAAUGAUGCGUAAUACCCCGUAACACAUGGAUCCGCAUGGUUCCAUGUUGAAAGAUUUAUUGCAUACGGAUCGGCUCGCGUGCCAUUAGCUAGAUGGCGGGGUAACGGCCCACCAUGGCGACGAUGGCUAGGGGUUCUGAGAGGAAGGACCCCCACAUUGGAACUGAGACACGGUCCAGACUCCUACGGGAGGCAGCAGUGAGGAAUAUUGGACAAUGGCCGGAAGGCUGAUCCAGCCAUGCCGCGUGCGGGAAAAGACGGCCCUAUGGGUUGUAAACCGCUUUUGCGGGGGAGCAAUAAGAGCAACGCGUUGCUCGAUGAGAGUACCCUGCGAAUAAGCAUCGGCUAACUCCGUGCCAGCCGCAGC